GGUGGCGUGGCCGAGUUGGUCUAAGGCGUUGGAUUUAAGAAAUUAUUCUUUCUCUUGAUUCCCAAUGGGCGCAAGUCCUCGCGAGUUCGAACCUCGCCGCCACCA